rfam:Loxodonta africana unplaced genomic scaffold scaffold_48, whole genome shotgun sequence.
GCAGUGGUGGUUCCGUGGUAGAAUUCUCACCUUGCAUGUGGGAGGCUCGGGUUCCAUUCCCGGCCAAUGUA